UACGUAGGGUGCAAGCGUUAAUCGGAAUUACUGGGCGUAAAGCGUGCGCAGGCGGUGAUGUAAGACCGAUGUGAAAUCCCCGGGCUUAACCUGGGAACUGCAUUGGUGACUGCAUUGCUGGAGUAUGGCAGAGGGGGGUGGAAUUCCACGUGUAGCAGUGAAAUGCGUAGAGAUGUGGAGGAACACCGAUGGCGAAGGCAGCCCCCUGGGCCAAUACUGACGCUCAUGACACGAAAGCGUGGGGAGCAAACAGG
rnacentral:rRNA from 1 species